rnacentral:rRNA from 1 species
AUUGAACGCUGGCGGUAUGCUUAACACAUGCAAGUCGAACGAUGAGAAAGAGCUUGCUCUUUCGAUUAGUGGCGGACGGGUGCGUAACGCGUAGGAAUCUACCUAUUAGUGGGGGACAACUUAGGGAAACUUAAACUAAUACCGCAUACGCCCUACGGGGGAGAGAAGGGGAUCGCAAGACCUUUUGCUAAUAGAUGAGCCUGCGUAGGAUUAGCUAGUUGGUGGGGUAAAAGCUCACCAAGGCGACGAUCCUUAACUGGUUUGAGAGAAUGAUCAGUCACACUGGAACUGAGACACGGUCCAGACUCCUACGGGAGGCAGCAGUGGGGAAUAUUGGACAAUGGGCGAAAGCCUGAUCCAGCAAUACCGCGUGUGUGAAGAAGGCCUUAGGGUUGUAAAGCACUUUCAAUUGGAAGGAAAACCUCGAAGCUAAUACCUUCGAGUUUGACAUUACCUUUAGAAGAAGCACCGGCUAACUCCGUGCCAGCCGCCGCAGUAAAAC